UACGUAGGGUGCAAGCGUUGUCCGGAAUUAUUGGGCGUAAAGAGCUCGUAGGCGGUUUGUCGCGUCUGCUGUGAAAACCCGAGGCUCAACCUCGGGCCUGCAGUGGGUACGGGCAGACUAGAGUGCGGUAGGGGAGAUUGGAAUUCCUGGUGUAGCGGUGGAAUGCGCAGAUAUCAGGAGGAACACCAAUGGGCGAAGGCAGAUCUCUGGGCCGUAACUGACGCUGAGGAGCGAAAGCAUGGGG
rnacentral:rRNA from 1 species